rnacentral:rRNA from 1 species
AUUGAACGCUGGCGGCAUGCCUUACACAUGCAAGUCGAACGGCAGCACGGGUGCUUGCACCUGGUGGCGAGUGGCGAACGGGUGAGUAAUACAUCGGAACAUGUCCUGUAGUGGGGGAUAGCCCGGCGAAAUCCGGAUUAAUACCGCAUACGAUCUACGGAUGAAAGCGGGGGACCUUCGGGCCUCGCGCUAUAGGGUUGGCCGAUGGCUGAUUAGCUAGUUGGUGGGGUAAAGGCCUACCAAGGCGACGAUCAGUAGCUGGUCUGAGAGGACGACCAGCCACACUGGGACUGAGACACGGCCCAGACUCCUACGGGAGGCAGCAGUGGGGAAUUUUGGACAAUGGGCGAAAGCCUGAUCCAGCAAUGCCGCGUGUGUGAAGAAGGCCUUCGGGUUGUAAAGCACUUUUGUCCGGAAAGAAAUCCUUGGCCCUAAUACGGUCGGGGGAUGACGGUACCGGAAGAAUAAUCACCGGCUAACUACGUG